rnacentral:rRNA from 1 species
GCGCGGCAGGACGGAAAGACCCCGGGACCUUUACUAUAGCUUGACAUUGGUAUCUGAAUUAGCUUGUGUAGGAUAGGUGGGAGCCGGUGAAGUCCAUACGCCAGUAUGGGUGGAGGCAAUCUUGAAAUACCACUCUGGUUGAUUUGGGUAUCUAACUUCGGACCGUUAUCCGGUUCAGGGACAGUGUCUGGUGGGUAGUUUAACUGGGGCGGUUGCCUCCUAAAGGGUAACGGAGGCGCCCAAAGGUUCCCUCAGCCUGGUUGGCAAUCAGGUGUUGAGUGCAAGUGCACAAGGGAGCUUGACUGUGAGACUGACAGGUCGAGCAGGGACGAAAGUCGGGACUAGUGAUCCGGCACUGGCAUGUGGAAGCGGUGUCGCUCAACGGAUAAAAGGUACCCCGGGGAUAACAGGCUGAUCUUCCCCAAGAGUCCAUAUCGACGGGAUGGUUUGGCACCUCGAUGUCGGCUCGUCGCAUCCUGGGGCUGUAGCAGGUCCCAAGGGUUGGGCUGUUCGCCCAUUAAAGCGGUACGCGAGCUGGGUUUAGAACGUCGUGAGACAGUUCGGUCCCUAUCCGCCGUGCGCGUAGGAUACUUGAGAAGGGCUGUCCCUAGUACGAGAGGACCGGGACGGACGAACCUCUGGUGUGCCAGUUGUCCCGCCAGGGGCACGGCUGGUUAGCUACGUUCGGAAGGGAUAACCGCUGAAAGCAUCUAAGCGGGAAGCUCGCUUCAAGAUGAGGUAUCCCACCCACAUUUGUGGGGUAAGGCCCCCAGCUAGACGACUGGGUUGAUAGGCCGGAAAUGUAAGCCCGGUAACGGGUUCAGUUGACCGGUACUAAUAGGCCGAGGACUUGACUAC